AUUGAACGCUGGCGGCAGGCUUAACACACGCAAGCCGAGCGGAGAUGAGGUGCUUGCACCUUAUCUUAGCGGCGGACGGGUGAGUAAUGCUUAGGAAUCUGCCUAUUAGUGGGGGACAACAUUCCGAAAGGAAUGCUAAUACCGCAUAUGUCCUACGGGAGAAAGCAGGGGAUCUUCGGACCUCGCGCUAAUAGAUGAGCCUAAGUCGGAUUAGGUAGUUGGUGGGGUAAAGGCCUACCAAGGCGACGAUCUGUAGCGGGUCUGAGAGGAUGAUCCGCCACACUGGGACUGAGACACGGCCCAGACUCCUACGGGAGGCAGCAGUGGGGAAUAUUGGACAAUGGGGGGAACCCUGAUCCAGCCAUGCCGCGUGUGUGAAGAAGGCCUUAUGGUUGUAAAGCACUUUAAGCGAGGAGGAGGCUACUGAGACUAAUACUCUUGGAUAGUGGACGUUACUCGCAGAAUAAGCACCGGCUAACUCUGUGCCAGCAGCCGCAGUAAUAC
rnacentral:rRNA from 1 species